AUGCUACUCAGCCUUGGACAGAUAUUGCUAACCCAGGUAAUGCUAACCCUGCAAAUACCAUCCAUGCAGGUAGAGAAGCUUUUAGAGAUAGCGCUGUGUUGGCAAACGUUGCACUUGGUAGUAGCAAAGCUAGUCCUUUAAUAGAUAAUGUUAAUGCUAUCUUGGCAUCCGAAUGUAACUACUGCAGCCAAACAUAUUGUAACGUUACACAGGGCUUUCCAGCUAGCACCGCUAACAGGAGAACCUCUGUGCCCCAGCCGAUCAAUAACAAAACUGAAUCUAUUGGUUGCAAUGAACCAGGGAGGAUGGAAUCCAUAAUUUAUGCUUCACUAUUAAGUCCCGAGAAAAAACAGAAGAACUCGACAACCCAACAUCCGUCUUUACAACAGCAGAUGACAGCUCCGGUGUUUGUCGAUGCUAAGCUAUCUGAGGCUAUGAGGAAACUGGGAAACGCAGACGCUGCUUAUUGGACCUUUUCUGGAACAAGAGAAGAAGAUGGAACGUUACUUCUGGAGAGCAGAGAGGAAUCGAUAGAGUGGAGCGAUGUUUCUACAUCAUUCAGUGAGAUAAAUAAUGGGGUUAGCUGGACAGUUCGCCCGGUUGGACUCCACCCCCAAGAGAAGCCCAAGCGGUGCAUCUUGGGAAGAGGACAGAGGAGCUGUAGACAAAUCACAGCGUCUUCUCCCAGGCUCAUCAGCCAAAUACAGCUUUCUGCCGAUUCCCUCUGCUCACCUUCAACCCACCGCACUCGUUUGCCACAGCACCUGGCCCACACAGCUUUACCUGUGAACACAUCCCCUGAUGAUAUCCCCACGUGCUCAUCUGUCUGUUGUCCUUGCAGACAGAAGCCACCGGUUCUUAACAACAAGCCAAAUCUCUCACCCAAAACCCUCAACCAACUCUUUGGGAUCCCGUGUUUGACGGACACUACAAGCUCUACAAGAACCAUGGGUACCUUGGAGUACCCUGGAACACUGGGAACUAGGGGAAGCAUGGAGAACAGUAGCACCCUGGGAAGCAUUGGCACCUAUGGGACCGGUGGAUCCUCAGAGACCAGUAGCACCAUGGGGACCAUGGAUAUCUAUCGGAAACGUGGACCUUCAGAGAAAAAUAGCACCCUGGGGAUCACAGAUCCCUGGAUUAUCAACACAAUUUCUGACCCAGAAGCAGAGGCUUUGCUCUACACAAGCUUGAUGACUGAAGACAAAGACGAGAAGGAGACGGUGGGCAAGAGAGGGAUGGAGUCACCAAUGAUGAUGACAAUAAUGUCCACCAGGAAAAAAAAGAAGGCCAGGAGGAGGAGGAGAAGCUCAGGCAGGCCCCUGCUGAUGACGUCAUCCCCAAGGGCCUCCUCCUCCUCGUCUUCCACACCCUCCUCGUCUCCAUCUUCAUCUGGAGACGAAGGAGACGUGAAUGAGAAAACCCGUUGGAGGACGAGGACCAUGGCACGCAACCACAAGAGCUCCUGUGCAGGGAUUGGUUGGAGCAGGUCACCCCCCAAAAACCAUCUCGGGGCGGAAGGGUUGCUGCGAGAUCUUCAGAUCCACGAGGAAGCAGAGAGAGAGCGAGGAAACAAGGAAACAGAGAAGAGGAAGGAAUUACGAGAGGAUCACAAGUUUGAGUCCAGUCGAAUACAAACCACCGAGGAUCUGUUCAAGGUCAUCCACAGAUCCAAGAGGAAGAUGUUCGGAAGGCGAGAUUCAGAAGACAACCGACAUCUAACUCCCUCCUCCUCCCUCACCGCCCCUCGGCCUCCUCUCUCCAGGCCUACCGCGGCUCCCAGAGGUCAAAGGUCAGGCAAGAGCGAGAGCUUCAAGCUCCUUUUGCUGAGGAAAAGGAGUCGGUGGGAUUCCUCUUCUCGGAAAUCGGCUGUUGAGCGACUUUGCAAACUUGCUUCUUCUGAGACUCCUGCUGACCUCCAAAGGGCGACGCCCACAGCAAUGACUACAUCAAUGAUGUCACCGAUGACACUGCCGGCCUCGUUCCCUCAAUCCCCCCUGCUCUUCCUGCCGCUGCUGCCUGAAGGCCACCCCGGAGAUGAAGAAACGAGGGGGGAAAAGGAAGAGAACGAUGUUUUUAUGGAGACCGCAGGAAGCGAAGGAGAAAAUCUUAACUGACUGUGACAAUGUCUUCUACUGAUCCGGUCUCAUGUCCCACAGCAGCAGAAGACCAGACUUGACUCAACUGGACUGGACUAAACCUAACUUAACUUAACAAGACUUGACUAACCCGAAUGAAAUCCAGCAGAUUGGAGUAACACAGAAGUGGACUCAACUAGACCACUCUAAACCCUACCCAACUAAACUGGAGCCCACCACGUCGGACUCGACCUGUAACUCAAACUUACAGUUGAAACUACCGAUCUUUAUGAACUUGUAUUUUUGACUUUAGCUUGAAUAAUCUUUGUUGAUACUUAGUUUUAAGUGAAUGAAUCAGAAUUUGUGGUUCUUUGUCCGUGUCUUCUGUCUGACCAAUUGGGAGAGAAUGUUACCAUUGACAAUUACAAUAUAGGGAAUGUUAUUAAGUAUUUUUUUAAUUUAAAUUGUUGUUUUUAAAGCUAGAAACAAUAAGUGAUUUACAUUGUACCAUUUGAGUCUCCACGGUAAUGAGUUGAUCUUUGUAAACAAAGUGGUGGACAGAAAGAUAAAUAAAUAUUAUAGUUGAAAACA
ensembl:lncRNA